rnacentral:tRNA from 1 species
GCCCCCGUAUCCCAACCGGUAGAGGAAGCCGCCUUAAAAGCGGUCCGAGUGUGGGUUCGACUCCCACCGGGGGCACCA